rnacentral:tRNA from 1 species
GGAGUUGUGGCUCAGUGGUAGAGUGCGUGCCUGGCAUGUGUGAGGCACUGGGUUAUAUUCUCAGCACCA